CCAAAGGCUCUUUUAAGAGCCACCACUUGAUCACAAAAGAGCUGGU
rfam:Anolis carolinensis unplaced genomic scaffold chrTn0274, whole genome shotgun sequence.